rnacentral:rRNA from 1 species
AGCGAACGCUGGCGGCAGGCUUAACACAUGCAAGUCGAACGCCCCGCAAGGGGAGUGGCAGACGGGUGAGUAACACGUGGGAACGUACCCUUUGGUUCGGAAUAACUUGGGGAAACUCAAGCUAAUACCGGAUAAGCCCUUAUGGGGAAAGGUUUACUGCCGAAGGAUCGGCCCGCGUCUGAUUAGCUAGUUGGUGAGGUGACGGCUCACCAAGGCGACGAUCAGUAGCUGGUCCGAGAGGAUGAUCAGCCACACUGGGACUGAGACACGGCCCAGGCUCCUACGGGAGGCAGCAGUGGGGAAUAUUGGACAAUGGGGGCAACCCUGAUCCAGCCAUGCCGCGUGAGUGAUGAAGGCCUUAGGGUUGUAAAGCUCUUUUACCCGGGACGAUAAUGACUGUACCGGGAGAAUAAGCCCCGGCUAACUUCGUGCCAGCCGCCGCCGUAA